rnacentral:rRNA from 1 species
GAUGGACGCUGGCGGCGUGCCUAAUACAUGCAAGUCGAGCGAACGGACGAGAAGCUUGCUUCUCUGAUGUUAGCGGCGGACGGGUGAGUAACACGUGGAUAACCUACCUAUAAGACUGGGAUAACUUCGGGAAACCGUAGCUAAUACCGGAUAAUAUUUUGAACCGCAUGGUUCAAAAGUGAAAGACGGUCUUGCUGUCACUUAUAGAUGGAUCCGCGCUGCAUUAGCUAGUUGGUAAGGUAACGGCUUACCAAGGCAACGAUGCAUAGCCGACCUGAGAGGGUGAUCGGCCACACUGGAACUGAGACACGGUCCAGACUCCUACGGGAGGCAGCAGUAGGGAAUCUUCCGCAAAGGGCGAAAGCCUGACGGAGCAACGCCGCGUGAGUGAUGAAGGUCUUCGGAUCGUAAAACUCUGUUAUUAGGGAAGAACAUAUGUGUAAGUAACUGUGCACAUCUUGACGGUACCUAAUCAGAAAGCCACGGCUAACUACGUG